GUGCUCACUUUAGCAGCACAUAUGCCUAAACUGGAAUGAUACAGAGAAGGUUAGCAUGGCCCUACUGCAAGCAUGACACACAAAUUCAUGAAGCAUUCCACAUUUUU
rnacentral:snRNA from 1 species